rnacentral:lncRNA from 10 species
AUAGAUAGAUAGAUAGAUAGAUAGAUAGAUAGAUAGAUAUUGAUAGAGAACAUGUUGUGUCUAUAUACAUAUCCAAUGACACACAGUAUAAUCAUGUUUUAAAUUAUGCCAAAAGUACUGAUUAUAUCAAGCCCAGUAAACAUAAUGCUACACAGCACCCAUUCUUUAAUUUUGAUUUCUAAAAUUAUAACCUUCCUUUGAUAUUAAUAAAAUGUUAUGAACUUGCAGGAGAAGGAAGGAGUUGAAAGAAGGAAAAUAUAAAGGGUGAUCCACAGUGAAAAUCAGACCUACACAAGCCACAAAAAAAUUGUCUCAUUUUCCCAAGGAAUUCAAAGUCCUGUGAUACACAUUACAAAAGAUGACACUUUGUAAAUAUUUUGAACUUCUAUGAUCCAAUUUCAACUUCAUUGGUCCAAUUUGUCAAACUAUUUUCCUCUGAGCACUAGAUUCAUGGGCAAUUUAAUCUCUGAAUAUUUUCUGUGUCAUAAGUGUGCUUGAAAAGAGGCUUGUAGUAAACAGAUAUUUUUACAAAAUUUGAUGCUUCUGCAACCAUAAUAAUUUUAUCUAUAAAUGCGUAUAUACAUAUAUAUAUAUAUAUAUAUACACAUACACUCACAUGCAGAUAUUUACAUAUAUAGAUAUUCUCUUUUCCUUUUAUAAAAUCAAAGUCUAGGCUCAAUUGGAAAAUGGAAAUAUUUGCACCAAAAGAAAAAAGUGCCAUUGUUGUGAUCAAUGGAGUAAAGCUGGGGUAUAGUAGAGGCUGGGGAAUCCCUGCCCAUGUUCUCUCCAAGGCCACAGCUUGCACACCGUGAAUGGUGGCCCCACUGGCUCCAUGGAGUGUGCCUUCACGCGGGGGAAUGUCCUUGUCCAACACGCUGUAAUCUACUCCAUGGGAACUGACUGUCCUGCUUUUCACAACAUUGAGAAACAGGCCCAGAGCCUGUCUCAUGUGCCAGGUGCAGUCACAUUAUUGUUAAAAUAAAGUGGCUUCUGACAAAUCAGUUUUUCAAAAUAGCAUCCUAUGUACUUUUCAUUUCUUCCAACAACCCUCAGGCCCCCUUUUGCCAGUUUUCUCCCCCAGGGGAGAUUUUCAAGACUACUGGAGAAAAAUCUGUUAAUAAAACAUUUGCUCUGAGUACCAGCUUCAGUGACUCAAUCAUUUAUACAGGAUUUCAGUGUUUUGUUCUGCAGCGGUGUUCUAAAGGGUUCACAUAGUAUAAUGGAGGAGGGACAAAGCAGAAUAUACUUCCAAGCUGGAACAUCUUUAAGACAUUUACAAACUGUUAUGGGACACUAUCAGCAACUACGCCUGGGGAAGCUAGCAGGAUUUAGCUCUUCAAUGGCCCUCCAAAUGCACCCAACAAUCGCCAACCUCACCCAUGGAAAUCAUCUAAAAAAUGAAAAGAAGGGCCUUAAAGUCCUCACAUGGAUGCUGUAUUUAUAACUAAAAUGUACAGUUUAAUUCUAAAUAGCAGGCUUUUAAAUGCAAACAGCUUCCAGGUGAGUCCUCUGGCUGCCAAUCAGACUGCUGAUUCUAAACCAUUCUCACACAGAAUUUCUGAAACCAACACCAGGUAUUAAUUGUUAACUGCAGUGAAAGGAAACCAAGGCACAUUACAAAAGGCUAAAUGCUGCUGUUUCUAAGUGGAAGCACUGUUGAACAACACUCUUAGGUGGAAUAAGAAAAUUAGGGUUAAACUGUAACAUUGUAAUCGGACGAACAAAUCAGCAUCUUUGAUCCUCAGGUUAAAAUUUAAUCUUAAAUUUAGAAAUUCAAAGUAACAGCCUUUAACCAUUAACCUUGAGGAAAAUGUGAAGUAGCAUCUGGAGUCUCUUAAGCCCCAGCCCUGUUGUCCCCUACAGCAUCUCCACCCAGGAAGUCCAGUUCCUAACUAAUGGGAAUGGAUCCUUUUCCCAUUAUAAAGGGCCGAUGCUUAACCCUUGAACCCACUACUGUUCUUAUGCCCCAAGAUCUGCACCUUACAUCAGGCACCCGGGAAUGCUUCUCAUUGAAAUUUUACCAUACCAAAAAAUAUGUAAGGGUGACUCAUCACUCCUAACUUUGGACUCCUUGCUUUGAGAUCGGUAUUUUUUUCUCUCUCUUUACAUAUAGCAAAAGCUUUCCCCAGUAGCUGAUGAAUUUAGAACUUUAUACAAGACUCCCUAGCAUUUUCCUCCUCCCACAGGCUGGAGAAUUUCAGUGCUAUGAGACUGGGCAGUAGGAGCCAGAGCCAAUUUGCAGGAUCUCUUUUCCUUCUGCCUUCCAGUUGGCUUCUCUUCUCAGCUGCGUGGUGGGGAUGAUUUGGGGUUUCCUCAGCAAGGCCAUUCUCUGCCUUGUGCCCAUAGCAGGGCCUUGGGUGGUGACAUGUUAUCUUUGUUGGUGAGCAGACACUCAGAGAUCCUUUAAUUAUCUGACACACCAGGGAAAUCUUGGCAAUCAACUAAGGACCUGUGACACUCAUAACUAUGUUUACAUUUGGCUUUAGCAUAUUUCAGGUAAUAUCUUUAUGAAAAAAAGAUGAAGUAUGGAAUUGUAGGAACUCUUUUGCAAUAGACUGAGAUCCAAUGUUUAAAUCUUUUUAUUUCAGUUUGAUCUGUGCCUUUAGAUUGGGGACAAAAUUUUAAAAACAAAUCUUCCAAAUGACACCACAAUGAAAGCCAGUUGUGGUCUUGAAAAAUCUCUCUAUUGCAUUACUUAUCCUCACCCUUGUUUUUUAAGAGGUAGAGAGAGAUUACUGGGAAGCAGUGAGCCAACAUAAUUGUCCUUUCCUCUACAGAAUAGCUGUGCAGAAGGGGACCACCACACUUAGGACCAGUGCCAGGUGACAAUCUUUCCGUCAUGCUGCUGCAGCAUUUUGCACCUUGAGAGACAGGAAAAAAAAUGGGGGUGAGGGAGUGGAAGAUGAUGAAACUAUUUCUCUUUUAUGUCUACAUCCUUACUCCUCAAAAUACUUUAAGCUCACUCAGACCCCAUAUACCCUGCCCACAAUACUAACACAUGUACUUUGCAUAAGUAAAUUGUUGAUUAAAUAAGAGCAAAACUAUAUUCUUAUGUGUAGAUUAACCAAGGCUAAUUUCCUGGAGUUUAAUACACUUUGGAUUCAAGUAAAAACAAUCACUUAAUGCAGCAACAUCUCAGACCCUCUUCACUCUAGAACCGUUUUAUACAAGAGAACUCAACAUUUACUGUUUUAUUUCUGAUAUUGCCUGCCAUUACUCAGGAUGCAAGAGAUGCUCUGCAUUCCUUAUUAGGAAAAAUUGGCCUGUAAGGAGAAUGGUAUACUGCGUAUUACUACUGUGAGACUGUAAAAUUGUUAAUGGACAGUGUAAAGAAUUGUAUUCAUUUUAUUAGCAAGAAAAAUAUUGCAUACAAGAACUACUGCCCUGAAAUAUCCAUCACUCCAAUGAACUGUUCUGCCUGAUCUAACAUAAAGUUAUAUUUCAUUGCUCAUUUUUUUUUGCCUCACUAAAAUGACUAACUUAAGGGAAUGUGCAUUUCUACAAGACUUUAAUUGGAUAAACUCAUUAGAAGAAAAUGUUUCGAUUGCAUUCAGGAACAAAGAAGCAUAACCUUUGUUGACUCUUGUAAUUUAUUAUAUGCUUCAUUUAAACCCAUUUUGUAAAGAAAUCAGGUAACAGUCAUUUAAUCUGAUAUAAUUAGAAAUAGCUGAGAGAGUAAAAAAGCAUUUUGAAUGUCCUAUGUAUGGCAUAUCCUGUACACCAAUUGAAGGUCAGAGCUUUGGUAUUUUUGUAUAAUUCUGUCUUAUCUGGUGCAUCAGCUGUGUAUUUUACGUCAAGGUAAAUGAGCAUCCUGUUUUAUAUGUUAAAUUUUAAAAAUGACUUUUUCAAAG